GGCUGCACCUGGGGUAUAUUUGUCUUGAAAACAAAUUAAAAGUGUUCAAAUCACUUAACAGCCU
rnacentral:tRNA from 1 species